rnacentral:miRNA from 1 species
GACGUCGAUAUUCGACGUCAUAAACACAAUCAACUUAGGUGUUUAUGACGUCGAUAUUCGACGUCGUAAACACGAUCAACUUAGGUGUUUAUGACGUCUAUAUUCGGCGUCAUAAACACGAUUAACUUUGGUGUUUAUGACGUCGAUAUUCGACGUC